AGCAGUGACUAACAGCACGCUGUAAUUUACAUGUUUUCAUCUUCUGAAUAUGUCCCGCACUCUUCCCGUGUCUUUGUAUGCCAGACUUUGAGCAAGGUACUGGUGUAGCACAAAAUGAACAGGAGGGCCUUGCUUUUGAAUCAUUGAUGGUUUGAGGUGGUCUCAACCAGUCUUUGAAUUCUGGAAUUUGUAGCCAGGCAUGGCGAAACUUUUGCUUGUAGUUACUGCUACGUUUAAGUUUUUUUGAGCGACUAGGUUUAGGAGAUGAAUGAUUGGAGCUAUCUGUAUCCUCAUCAUAGCUUUCUUCACUCUCUUCUACAGCUGCUAAAGACAUGGUGAAGUCCUCAGAAACACCGUCGGGAUAAUAUGAACACUGUAAUGGGGCGAAGAUGCUAUUACCUUAUAUGCAAUUUCUUAAAAUAAUAGGUAUACUAAGGGUAUUAGGCCUAUAUAUUUUAUUUAGUUUUAACAAGGGUGAAAUAAUGAGUGUAGGCAAAACUAAUAUGACUGUAGACUACUCAUUAAAUAACAGUACCCUAGGGACUUGGGAGUUCAAGUAAGUAGUGACCUACGCCCCAGGGAGCAGUGUAUAAUAGCUAGGAAUAGAGCUAACAAGAUACUAGGAGUGUGACAAAUAGGAGUUCAGAGGUCAUUCUGAGUAAGGAAAUUCACCAACUUGACAUUUUCCUGAAAACCAGCACUAGGAGGGCGAUAAACUAAUACAAGAUAAACGGAAAAUUUGAUCAAGUAUACAACAACAACAUUCUGGCAAUCACUUUUAACAGCCUGAAAAGAAAAGUUAUCAUGAACAUAAAAACUUAGUGCUUAGUGUGUGUGGGACAUUCCCCUGAGGCAACUUUGUCUCCUUUAUUUUGGGUGCUUUUCUCGUGAUUUCCACCUCCAGAUGUUUACCAAACGUGUAAUUUUGGAUAUUCUUUAAAUAUGUGUAAAUUAUUAUCGUCUGAAAGGGUCCGUCACGGUGGGGCCGUCCUGGUAAACACGGGGCCGUGAGGGAGGACCGUCGCGGAGGGCCGUCGUGGUCAGGGGCCGUCUUGACCUGCUUCCAUGAUAAGUAGUCGAUAUACAACACGUCUGUUGUGGUUUUAUUUGGAGGACGGCUUUAGUAUGUCCACAGUGGGUCUUUAAAAGUAUACGAGCUGGCUCAGUUUUUCCCCUCUCACCCGUGGGCUGCACCAUUCCUCACCAAGGCAGGAGCCGCUGUUGGUUAGAAAAUUACCUAACACUGAAAAGGAAGGUGUGUGAAUAAGAGGAAGGGAGGAACGAGAGGAGGAGGACCUGAUGCAAAGCGUUACAGGUCAGAAGAAGAAGAAGAACCACCCCCUCCGCACCAUGGGCAGCACCGCACCAACUCCUGCCCACACACAGCCAUGGGUGAGGGAACGUCCUGCCUGGCCCUGCCCCUCACUGCCCCAUCGAGCACCUGCUGCCCUGCCCCCCACGCCACCUGCUCCCACGACACCUCUGUGCCCUGGCCGUGCUGCCCACCCUGACCUGCCCACGGUGCUGGCGGCGGCAGGCGUGCACCCUCACGGCAGGAAGCUGUCACCCGCCUCACCUGUGCCUUCCUCGGGAGGACGGGGCAGCCUGUGAGGCCCACAUGCCAGUCUGCGGGCCGUGGGAGUCACGUGUCACCCUCCCGAGCUGCCGGUCUUGGUGGUGCCCAGGCUGGAACACUCCCCGCCCAGUGUUGUGGCACCUGAGGAGGCACUGUGCUGACUUCAGUCCCCUGGGCCCAGCCUCCUCCUCCACGCAGCAGCGUCAGAGCCGAGACACUGCUGAGACCACCACUGGCAUUGACCACUGUGGUCAGUCUCCACACUCCAGGGAAAGUUUGCUGCUGCAAGGUCAACACAGUCCAGCCUCCUGCUGAGAAGGGCCCCGUAUGCCUGUGGGGAGGACGCCGGGGCCAGCGGGGCGGGGGCGGCAGUGUGUGUGGCCAGGAGACGACCCUUGUGCCCCGCGCAUCACCCCGCAGCCGUGGAGGAGACCAGCGGCCCACGGCAGGCAGCCACCCGCCUGCCUGUGCCUUCCUCAGCCCCCACUCGGCAGGGUCUCAUGACUUGUUCCAGUCCUGGUUGGUCUUCAAAGGAAAAAAAGGAAGAAGAUGAGAGGAGACCAGACUCAGCCCUCCAGUGAGCCCAGAGGACCAGACUCAGCCCUCCAGUGAGCCCAGGGGACCAGACUCAGCCCUCCAGUGAGCCCAGGGGACCAGACUCAGCCCUCCAAGAUGGUGUGGGAGAUGAGACCAGUCCUGUUGGGGAGAAGAGAAGACGCAGUGAGACCAGAUGAGCCA